rnacentral:rRNA from 1 species
CAUGGCUCAGGACGAACGCUGGCGGCGUGCUUAACACAUGCAAGUCGAACGAUGAUGCCCAGCUUGCUGGGCGGAUUAGUGGCGAACGGGUGAGUAACACGUGGGUGAUCUGCCCUGCACUUCGGGAUAAGCCUGGGAAACUGGGUCUAAUACCGGAUAUGACCAUGGGAUGCAUGUCCUGUGGUGGAAAGGUUUACUGGUGCAGGAUGAGCCCGCGGCCUAUCAGCUUGUUGGUGGGGUAAUGGCCUACCAAGGCGACGACGGGUAGCCGGCCUGAGAGGGCGACCGGCCACACUGGGACUGAGACACGGCCCAGACUCCUACGGGAGGCAGCAGUGGGGAAUAUUGCACAAUGGGCGAAAGCCUGAUGCAGCGACGCCGCGUGAGGGAUGACGGCCUUCGGGUUGUAAACCUCUUUCAGCAGGGACGAAGCGCAAGUGACUGUACCUGCAGAAGAAGCACCGGCUAACUACGUGCCAGCAGCCGCGGUAAUACGUAGGGUGCGAGCGUUGUCCGGAAUUACUGGGCGUAAAGAGUUCGUAGGCGGUUUGUCGCGUCGUGUGUGAAAUCCCGCAGCUCAACUGCGGGCUUGCAGGCGAUACGGGCAGACUUGAGUACUGCAGGGGAGACUGGAAUUCCUGGUGUAGCGGUGAAAUGCGCAGAUAUCAGGAGGAACACCGGUGGCGAAGGCGGGUCUCUGGGCAGUAACUGACGCUGAGGAACGAAAGCGUGGGUAGCGAACAGGAUUAGAUACCCUGGUAGUCCACGCCGUAAACGGUGGGCGCUAGGUGUGGGUUUCCUUCCACGGGAUCCGUGCCGUAGCUAACGCAUAAGC